rnacentral:rRNA from 1 species
CCUACGGGAGGCAGCAGUGGGGAAUAUUGCACAAUGGGGGAAACCCUGAUGCAGCGAAGCCGCGUGAGUGAUGAAGUCAUUCGUUAUGUAAAGCUCUAUCAGCAGGGAAGAAAAUGACGGUACCUGAGUACUCAGCCCCGGCUAACUACGUGCCAGCAGCCGCGGUAAUACGUAGGGGGCAAGCGUUAUCCGGAUUUACUGGGUGUAAAGGGAGCGUAGACGGGUGUGCAAGUCUGGAGUGAAAGGCGGGGGCUCAAACCCCGGACUGCUCUGGAAACUGUACGGCGGGAGUGCAGGAGAGGUAAGUGGAAUGCGUAGUGUAGCGGUGAAAUGCGUAGAUAUUAGGAGGAACACCAGUGGCGAAGGCGGCUUACUGGAGUGUAACUGACGUUGAGGCUCGAAAGCGUGGGGAGCAAACAGGAUUAGAUACCCCUGUAGUC